GCUUCAGAAUAGUAGCAACUAUGUCUAGAAAUAUGUCCAUAGGAUAAGAGCAAUCAAUAGUAACUUUUCUGACUAGUCUCUUGUAUAGUGCUUUGAUCAUAGUUUUAGCUUUGAUGUUGAUGUUUCGUAUGAUAAGUAUUGGUCAGUACCACUCCAUUGCAAGAUAGAGAUAUAAUUCUCUAAAUUUUUUUUGGCUUCAUAAGGUUGCA
rnacentral:lncRNA from 1 species